AAGGCACAACACAGGCCUGUGUUUGGAACAAGUUGCAGUCUGCCUCGGAAUGUUUCCAUCGUGGUGGUCGUGUCAUCAGCGAGUUUGUGUGACGACGGAAUUUUAUAACCACGGGGAAGUGAUCACUUCCAUGCGGGUUCUGUUCAACUGUCCAGUCAAAAGAAUGAAAGAGAGAGGGACUGCACAGUGACAUAUCUAAGCAAGAAAAAGUUUGAGUCGAAGAAUGUACAUAUCUAUGAUGGUGGCGCCAUCUGGUGUGAUGCCCUGCAACUCAGUGGCCACCUGUCGUCGAUCUCUGCAACUACCCGACGUCAACAAGCGCUGGUCACCCGGAGCCGUUUCUUCGUCACGCCAUCGUUGAUUUUCGAAUAAAUUGUUUCUCUCCACUCUA